GGUCACAGUGGUUCCCACGGUUGUCUUAGAAACCAGUCCCCGAGGCUUGGAAGAGCAGGAGCCCUCCGUGGCAGUGUUUGGGUAUCGAGGCUCUGAGGCUCCGGUCUCACCUCUCCAUGGGCUGGAAGGGAAACUCUCCUGAUGCCAGCAGUCGCAAAGGGCCGACUAUGAAGAUGAAACCACAGACGGAGACGGGGAAAGCAGCACGGGAUCCCAGCCUCAGGCCUGCACGGACGGUGUUGGUUGGGCCUCUUUUCUAGGAUCAAGAUGAACAUACUGCAGCGGAGGACAAGAGCCCCAGAGGAACUCUUUGUCCCACAGGAGAGCAGCGGAUCCACGCUAGAGAAGACGCUUGUAUCUCUUCACGGCUCUUCUCUGAGAAAUGAAGCCACUCCACGAUACAGUCAGCAAGAGGAAACCGGGAAUGGAAGAUGGCAACAAUCCCUGUCACUGGAACGCUGGCCUCUCUGGACAAGCCACCCUUUUGGAACCCCACCCCUUACACCCGUGGCCGUGGCACAGUGCUGUAUCCUGCCUGUGCUCUGGCCUCUGCUCUCUCCUCCCUCUGGCUCUGCCUCCCCUAUUUCUCAGGGGCCUGGAUGUGUUUCGCUCUGGCCGAAUGCCUUCAACAAAGAUGACUUCCCAGUCCGUCAAGGAGACACUUCCUGGAGGUCCGUGUCAUGAUCGUUUCUGUCUCCAAACCUGUUUCUGCUUAAUUGGGCAGGUAUCAUGACCCAGGAGCUCUUGGCUUCCAUACGUGUCUCAGGCAGGGAAGCUUUCUUCUUCCCCACGUUUUCCCUCAUGGGUGGGUGGAUUGCCUAGAAUGAGUGCUACGAGACUGUGACUGGCCUUGUCUUCCAGGACAGGUGGUGUCCCAUUUCCUCUGCAUUUCCUGUCUCAUUCUUGAGGGACAUCCUCUCCUCUGCUUCUGGGUGGCCUGACUCCCUUGAUCUUCUGGAAGAGCUGAUGUGGGCUUGAAGCCCCAGCUGUGACAAUAAGAACACAGUGACUCGUGACUACGUCUUGACUGAAAUGCAGGCCUUGAAUCUAAUCAUUACGUUGAAAAGAGGUGUUGAGCCUACGAAAUGAAGGCAUGUCUGGAAAAAGAGACACAGCAAUAUGUUACAGCCAAACUAUAACCUAAAUCCCACGAACGCAUGUCAUCCCACCUGCUAUUCGUUUCUGUCAGAGCUGUCACCCAGUGAUCUACAAACGAGAAAGGGGAGAAACAGCUUUGAAAAGAAAUGCUACCUUUUGGGUAGUGAAGGCAGCUAUGUGGCUGAUACCUCAUGCUCCUUGUGUUAUUUCCACCCCUUCGGUGGUACUCCAUGAAUUUCACCCCACAUCUGAGAAACGGCUGGUUCAGCAAGCUAACAGCAUACAGAUCCUACUCUUUUCUAUUUUAACCAAAAAAAUUCCUAAGUGGUAUUCCUUAAAUCUUGAGCAAGUACGAUUCCUUAAAUCUUGAGCAAAUCUUGAGAAAACUGUGUCCUACUAAAAUUAAAAGGUAUUCUCCUGGGAAGUGGGCCCUAUGUCUAUUAAACAUAC
ensembl:lncRNA LINC01667 long intergenic non-protein coding RNA 1667